rnacentral:lncRNA from 1 species
GCGACCCCCGGUGGUCGGGUGUCUCCGCAGGCCGAACACGCUGCUCGCCCAGCUGCGGAUCAUUACCGCCCUUUUGUUCUCCGUCGCGCGCUCGCCCCACGCUAGGAAUGCAAACUGUAGGCGCCGCCAGCCCCCCCUUCCUGUUUCCCUGGGUGGGAGUGGGAAGGGAGUUUUAAACUGAAUUGUGCUCAGACUCCCAGCCCAGUCUUCCCGGAGCCAUCCGUUCCUUCAUCCAAUGCGGACACCCAUAUCUAAGGUCCUUUUGGCUUUUGGGAGGCGGAGACUGAGACUGGAGUCCAGAGGACCAAGGAGGACGAGUUAGGUUUCCUCAGAGACCCGGGUAAUUGCGGCUGAGCUGUCCGAGGUGCUGACGGCUGGGCGAGAGGAGCGGUUGAAUGUAUGCACAACGCCCAGAGGAAACUCAUCUAUUCCCAUGACUUACAAGAUCAUCCAUAGACAACAGCUCCUAUGCUUAUUUUUUCAGUCCUAUUCUCUCUUCUGAGGCCCAGCCUACUUGACUUGUCAACUUGGAGGUUUAACAGAUCUUUCAAACCCAUUUCUCCCAAGCAGAUGAAGACACUGAGGCAACUUGUUCAAGGUCAAACAACUAGAGUCAUCAAGCCCGAAUUUGAACCUGGAUCUCUCUUUAUCUGCAAAGGUUACACUGCUGAGCACAUUCUAUCUCUCUAUGAGUUGGUACUCUCUUCAAAAUAUCCCUGUCAGUCAGACAUAGUGGUGCAUGCCUGUAUUCCCAGUUAUUCAAGGGGCUGAAGCAGGAGAGUCACUUGGGCCCAGGAAUUCAAGGCUGCAGCAAGCUAUGAUUGUGCCCAUGAAUAGCCAUUGCACUCUAGCCUGAGCAACAUAGCAAGAUGCCAUCUUUAUUUUUACUUUAAAAAUAAAAAUAAGUUUAAAAAUAAAGAAAUAAAAGAAGACCCUUUUCCAUUCUGUAGCUCAUACCCUAAGUCAUAUCUACCAGACUGCUGUGAUACUCACUAAACCAUGCCAACUGCUCUCUCCCCCAAGCUAAAGAGGCCCUGAGCACCAGCCUCAGGAUGUGCCAAGAAAGAAGCUAUCCAUAAGGACAGAGGGAAGCCCCAAAGAGGGCUCAUCAGAGAAAGUCAUGGGGAAGAAGAGCUGUGAAGCCAUCUUAUCUCCUUCCAUCAAAAGCCCCUGUUCUGGCUGGGUGCGGUGGCUCACGCCUGUAAUCCCAGCACUUUGGGAGGCUGAGGCAGGCAGAUCACGAGGUCAGGAGAUCAAGACCAUCCUGGCUAACAUGGUGAAACCCCGCUAACACGGUGAAACCCUGUCUCUACUAAAAAUACAAAAAAAGUAGCCAGGUGUGGUGGCACGUGCCUGUCAUCCCAGCUACUCGGGAGGCUGAGGCAGGAGAAUUGCUUGAACCCGGGAGACGGAGGU